CAGUCGCCUCGGUAAUACGAAGGGUGCAAGCGUUAAUCGGAAUUACUGGGCGUAAAUGGUGCGUAGGCGGUGAGUUAAGUCUGCUGUGAAAUCCCCGGGCUCAACCUGGGAAUGGCAGUGGAUACUGGCUCGCUAGAGUGUGUCAGAGGAUGGUGGAAUUCCCGGUGUAGCGGUGAAAUGCGUAGAGAUCGGGAGGAACAUCAGUGGCGAAGGCGGCCAUCUGGGACAACACUGACGCUGAGGCACGAAAGCGUGGGGAGCAAACAGGAUUAGAUACCCCCGUAGUCCCUGUCUCUUAUAC
rnacentral:rRNA from 1 species